GUGGGCUGGGCCUUUCCUGUCGGCGCGCGGUUUCAGACGGCAUUAAUGGAGACAGCCAAUUCCCAUUUGUCAUUGAGUAAAAUGAGCUGCUGAUCAGUUGAAAGUCUAGUAUUCCAUGUACGGUGUUGAAGAAAAUUUCACCAGACCAUGUUAAGAAGGCACUAUAUAUUCAAGGCUAUUGCCCUAGGGGAGAGAGACCAGAACUAAGUCUGAACUCAGCUCCACUGAAGCAGAGUAUGUAAGGAAGAAAGAGAAUGGGAAAGAAAGGAAAUUGUGAAGGCUGGUGAUGGCUAAGCGAUGGUGUUACAGGACCUGCACCUUUCACUGCCUGCGUCAUUUGCUGCACACCAGUGUCUGGCUCCUUGAGACCUAACAAUCAAGCUGACCAUUUGGGAAUCUUUCAAUGAAGAAUUCAAAGCCUGAUGGUAAGAUGAAGACAAGAUGCAAAAAAAGGAAGAAAGUAUCAAAGAACUUGGAACAGAAUUCCAGUCAAGUUGGACCCAGGAGGAUGCCCCCUUGGCUUGCUCAUCAAUUCCACUACCUCCUCUACCACAUCUACAGUCAGAUGGCAGAACAGCACCACCAUCUCCUCUGUCAGUGCCAUCUCUAUCCAGAGGAGUUGCUCCUUCUUUUCCAACUCCUUACAUGGAAUAAGAGGUGUCAUCACCACCACCUUUGAUGGGUGGGCAUCUCAAUGAUCACCACCUGCUCUAACAUAAAAUGAAGCAGAAAUAAACAAAUAAACCUGAAUUCACGGGAUUGCUUUUGGACUCCAUGACUUGAUUAUGAAGAGAAUCAGUAGGUCAAAGGCAAAACUGAGGUCUUUGGCAUCUUUUUUCCACUUGUGAUCAUUAAUAGAGAAUAAGUACAUAGCUAUGCAUAUGUAUAGUGUAAUUUUAGAGAAUAUGACUGCUACUCAUUUUUUUUCUUGUGAGAUCAUACUUUUAUAUUCACCAUUCAGAAUAAACUAAUUGAAUAAACAUAGAGAAUAUGAAAUUAAUAUAGAAAGUUAAGGGGAAUAAACAAAGUGUUGUAUGGACAAUUGUAUUAAUUUCCUAAGGCUGCCAUAAUAAAUUACUACAAAUGGAUGACUUAAAACAACAAAAAUCUAUUCUCUCACAGUUUUGGAGGCCAGAAGUCUGAAAUCCAGGUGUUGGCAGGGCCACACUCCUUGUGGAGGCUCUAGGGGCAAUCCAUUCCUUUUC